UACAGAGGGUGCAAGCGUUGUUCGGAAUUAUUGGGCGUAAAGCGCGUGUAGGCGGCCGUGCAAGUCGGGUGUGAAAGCCCUCAGCUCAACUGAGGAAGUGCGCCCGAAACUGCAUGGCUUGAGUACCGGAGAGGAUGGUGGAAUUCCCGAAGUAGAGGUGAAAUUCGUAGAUAUCGAGAGGAACACCGGCGGCGAAGGCGGGUAGCUGGGCCGACACUGACGCUGAGGCGCGAAAGCCAGGGGAGCGAACGGG
rnacentral:rRNA from 1 species